UACGGGGGGGGCAAGCGUUGUUCGGAAUUACUGGGCGUAAAGGGCUCGUAGGUGGCCAACUAAGUCAGAUGUGAAAGUCAGGGGCUCAACCCUUGAAAGCCGGCCGAUACUGUCGGACUAGAGUCCGGAAGAGGCAAGUGGAAUUCCCGGUGUAGCGGUGAAAUGCGCAGAUAUCGGGAGGAACACCAAUGGCGAAGGCAGCUUGCUGGGACGGUACUGACGCUGAGGCGCGAAAGCGUGGGGAGCAAACAGG
rnacentral:rRNA from 1 species